rnacentral:rRNA from 1 species
UACAGAGGUGGCAAGCGUUGUUCGGAAUUACUGGGCGUAAAGGGCGCGUAGGCGGCCUCCUAAGUCAGACGUGAAAUCCCCCGGCUUAACCUGGGAACUGCGUCUGAUACUGGGAGGCUAGAGUGCGGGAGAGGGGUGCGGAAUUCCAGGUGUAGCGGUGAAAUGCGUAGAUAUCUGGAGGAACACCGGUGGCGAAGGCGGCAUCCUGGACCGACACUGACGCUGAGGCGCGAAAGCUAGGGUAGCAAACGGG